rnacentral:rRNA from 1 species
AUUGAACGCUGGCGGCAGGCCUAACACAUGCAAGUCGAGCGGAGCGGCGGACGGGUGCGUAAUGCCUAGGAAUCUGCCUGGUAGUGUGGGAUAACGUCCGGCAACGGGCGCUAAUACCGCAUACUAUCAGAUUAGCCUAGGUCGGAUUAGCUAGUUGGUGGGGUAACGGCCUACCAUGGCGACGAUCCGUAACGGGUCUGAGAGGAGGAUCAGUCACACUGGAACUGGGACACGGUCCAGACUCCUACGGGAGGCAGCAGUGGGGAAUAUUGGACAAUGGGCGAAAGCCUGAGCCAGCCAUGCCGCGUGUGGUAAGAAGGUCUUCGGAUUGUAAAGCACUUUAAGUUGGGAGGCGUUACCAACAGAAUAAGCACCGGCUAACUUCGUGCCAGUAGCCGCGGUAAUAC